UAUAAAUACCACAUGAAUCUUAUAUGUACGAUGGAAGAUGAGAAUUAUGC
rnacentral:misc_RNA from 1 species